UGCUCUGAAGCCACGCAAAGCUCCCUGGGAAAGACUGGGGCUGUGGAUGUGACUCUCAAGAUAAGGGCCCGGCAUCUGAGGGCGCCUCCAACUCUCCUAUCGCACAGUUCCCCACCCCAGCCCGGGAAGCCCAGCCUGCCCAUUGCGCCGGGAAGAGCAGUGGCCUGGAUGAGGACAGCAUGGGUCACGGAUAGAGUCUAGAACCUUCCUACCCGACCCAGAGAAAAAGCCAAGAAAGAAACCCCACCUCCCCCUCCCGGAGGACGGCGACCUAACGCCCCUCAACGCCCUUUGACCUCUGAACUCUUCGCCGGGCUCUCGAGACCCUCCUCCCCCAUCCCUCCCGGCGCCUGGUACUACACAUGCGCCCUGCGGCCCGGCGCCAUGUUGGGUCGGUUUGAAAGCGAGCGCGGGCGUCCGGCCUUCCUGCGGUGGCGGAGGAAAUAGCGGUCCCGAGGAAGGCGGUGACGCGCUCCGGGAUGCUUUGUCGCGUCGUCCGGUUUGGGCAGGGCUUGGGCUGUCCGCCGCCCGGAGUCUGGAAGUGCGCGCUUUAAAAAAAAAAAAAAGUGUCCCGGGACGCUGCCACCCUGGAGCCAGCCCGACAGCCACACCCAGCGCACAGGGAUGGUCCCAGUCUCUGCAGCCCAAGGCCUGCCAUAACCGGUGUUCCAGACCCGUUGCCUUGGCAGGCUAACCAGAGAGCAGCGGUUUCCAAGAGUUGUGCUCCGCUUCCAGAGCGUCCAUCUCCCUGGCACUUUUUUGACGCGGUCGGGUCGUCUGUGUUUUGAAUCGAGGUAGUUGACAUUUCUUGCCCUAACUUUUAUUCUGCACCGCGAUGGAUUUAAUUCGGGAGAUUGAAACCGGCGCUUUUGAAGGGAAUGUAUUUAAUGGAAAUGAAUAACUCCUUUUGAGAAAGCCAUGGCGAAGUUAAACACAAAGCUCAGGGGUUGUUCUCAAGAGUCUUCAGUAUCUUCUCUCCUGGCAAGCGGCAGCCUGAGUGGCAGCCGCUCCGACAGCGCCCACAGCGCCCACAGCUCGUUUGUGUAUAAGGACCAGCUGUACAGCUCGGCUUCCGAGGCCCUGCAGGCCUAUAUUGAUGAUUUUGACCUGAGCAGAGAACAUCCUGGUGCAAACGCUGUCAAAGUGAACACUGACGGUGAGAUUGGUAAUGGGCUGCAAUUUUCCAGCUACGUACAUAUACCCGACAAUGCUUUUGUCAAUCUUGAUCCCAAGCAGCACUUUAACCCCUUAUACUAUAGAAGAGAGACUGUUAAUGACAUGGACGCCAUUAGCCUGACAACUGAUGAUUUGUUAAGACUUCCAGCGGAUGGAUGCUUUUCCUUCCCUUGUGUUCCACCUGAUCACCGACCAAACAAGAAAUACAGUGGAAGACAGGAUUCAUCAGACAUUAAGAAUAGUCCAAGUUUUUAUGUAGACGCUACUUCCAAGAGCAAGAAUAAUAUAGUUCCUCCUUAUGUAUAUACAAAUAUAAAUGGAAAGAAAUGUGGUAGGCCCAGAACCCCAAAACCUAUUAACAGAGAAAAUAAAUGUGUUUCGGAAUCAUCUUUAUCUUUUCCUAAAGAAUCAUCCUUCACGGAGGACAGUGCAGAGCGCAGGCUCGAGAACUAUCCAAGAUGGCUGACUAGCCAGAAGUCUGACCUCAGUGUCUCAGGGGUAACUAGUAUACCUGACGUUAAGUAUCCAAUUUGGCUCCAUAAUCAAGACUUGCUACCUGAGGCAAAUACUCCAAGGGGUUAUAAAUUACUUAACGAAGAUGAAUAUCGCCCUAUACAUAGUUACCAAACACAAAGAGCAAAUCAGCUGUUAAAUAAAAUAGAUUGUUUUGAAUAUACUUUUAAACCUUCAAACUUAACAGACUCCUUCAGUGAGUAUGAAGGAUUAGGUAAUGAAUUUAAAUGUCAGUGUGACAAUCCACUUCUCCCAGGACAAUCCCAAAAGCCAUUCUGUGGUAAUAUUUUGUUUUUAGUUUUUUAUUUUAAAGCAAAGGAUAUGUUAAAAUGUGAUAUACUCUGUAGAAGUUUUAUGAUGUAAUAACACUUGUAGAAUGCAUAUGAUCUUUAGUAUUUUAAAGCUGUUAAGGUCUUUAUCUCUGUGUCCUUGCUUACAUUAUCCCACUGUCCUGAUUUGAUAGAGACGUGUACUUUCCCAGUGUUUUACUUCCUGUUGACUGAGGUAUUUUGAGAUUUCUAUUUUUUUUCUUAAAGAGUGUUUUUGAAAUUAGGUGACAAAAUUGAGUUGCUUAUCCUGAAGGCUAAGAAGAAUCUCAAACAAUCUGCUAAAGACUUACCAAAACCCGUGGAAAAGGAUGACAGUCCUUGCUCCUUAGAUAAACUUGAAGCAGAACGAACGUGGGAAAAUGUCCCUGUGGCUUUGUAACAAAUCUCCUGUCCCUGUUAAAGCUGAUGACAGUCCUCAACAAAGUUCCAGGACACAAUGUGUGAAUGCGUUUCUUGAGGACUUUUUAAACGGUGAGAAUCAGAGCUCUACUCUAUCUGGAGGCAAACAUCAUGGUCCUGUUGAAGCUUUGAAACAAAUGUUAUUUAACCUUCAGACAGUACAGGAAAGUUUUAAUAAGAAUAAAACUACAGAGCCUGAAGAAGAGAUUAAGCAAGUGUCAGAGGAUGAUUUGGCUAAAUUACAGAUGAAGGAAAAUAUGAUGCCUAUUACUAGGUCUCUUCACAAGGCCUUACAACAUUUAUCCCGCCUGAGAGACCUGGUCGAUGAUACCAGUGGGAGACAGUCACCAAAGAAGUGAAGAGGAAAAUAAGCCUUCACCGCAAUAAACAGUCACCACACAAUGAGUUAUGUACUCUCUGCUGUUACUUACACCGAGAAGGUGAACAUUAGCCAUACGUUAUUCUGUGGCCAGUUCAAGUGGAUUUACUUCUAAGAAUCUGAACUUGGAAAUAUUCAUAGGCCCGAUUUUAUAUGAAAACAAAAGGGGAAGACACUAAGAUAUAUCCUGAAGUAGUACGUGGAUCCUCAGACCAGAAAAAUUUUUAACAUUCAGAAGUGGAUAAUUUCCUUUCUUGCUGUUUAUCUGGACUCAGUUUUUAUCGACAGUCUUAUCAUUUGCCAUUUAAUUCUUGGUUGUAAAAUCUUUUAGCUUCUUCCCAAAUCAUCUAAAUGUUAUCUUUGAAUGUGUGUGUACUGAGUAUUUUCAAGCACCUACAGGAGUACCACCUAUAACUACUCAACAAUGAGUACCUACAUUGUUGUGUCCUAGGGGUCAUUUUGCUACUUCUAAAGUUUCAUACAUUGGAUAUUUAAGAUGUUCUGUUUAUAAAUGACAUUUAAAUAGUUUGUGACUCAGUGUUAAUGGAAUGUUCUUUUAUUAUGACACCAUAGAAUCUUUUUUUACUUAAUUCAAUUAAUUGAUUCUUUGUAAGAUAAUCUUGAUAAUACUUAACAGUUGACAAAUAAUUUGAGACUAUAUUUGUGAAUUUAAUAUUUGAUAUGUAAUUCCCCAGAUUUUAGAUUUGGGUUAACCUCACUCUAUUAAAAGCUAUGACAUUAUGAAAAAUCUGAAACUGAACAAAAAAAUGAGUGUAGAAAAUCCCAAAACAAUUAUAACUUAAAGUAUCUACUAUAGUGUUCCAAAUUUAUCUCCAGAUAGGACUGAACAGAGUUGUGUUUUGCAGUUUCUACUAAGCAAAUAUUAAUAUUUGUAAUAAGUAGAAAACAUCUUCAUCAAGAACGAGAAUUAUGUAAUAAAGCAUACAGAAUGCAUUUACAAGCCUGAUGAAAUUAGUGUAUGGUCAAAGACUACAAAUUAACAUUUUACCCAAAGUUGUUUUUGUAGAACAUGAUUUUAAUAUUUUCAACUGUUAAUAUUCAAUAAACAAUAAUUAUUUUAUGAUA